UUAGAGUUUGAUCCUGGCUCAGAACGAACGCUGGCGGCGUGCCUUAGACAUGCAAGUCGAGCGGUAGGCGUCCUUCGGGGCGCCGAGAGCGGCGAACGGCGGAGUAACACGUGGGUAACCUGCCCCGAAGACUGGGAUAACCCGAGGAAACUCGGGCUAAUACCGGAUGUGGAUGCGUGGGCUUCGGCUUGGGCAUCUAAAAGGGUUUCCGCUUCGGGAUGGGCCCGCGGCCUAUCAGGUUGUUGGUGAGGUAAUGGCUCACCAAGCCGACGACGGGUAGCCGGUCUGAGAGGAUGAUCGGCCCGAGGGGCACUGAGACACGGGCCCCACUCCUACGGGAGGCAGCAGUCGGGAAUUUUGGGCAAUGGGCGCAAGCCUGACCCAGCGACGCCGCGUGGAGGACGAAGCCCUUCGGGGUGUAAACUCCUUUUAGUGGGGACGAACGCAGACGGUACCCACAGAAAAAGCCCCGGCUAACUACGUGCCAGCAGCCGCGGUAAUACGUAGGGGGCGAGCGUUGCCCGAAUUUACUGGGCGUAAAGCGCACGUAGGCGGCUUCGUAAGUCUGGUGUGAAAUCUCACGGCUCAACCGGGAGGCUGCACCAGAUACUGCGAAGCUCGAGGACGGGAGAGGAGAUUGGAAUUCCCGGUGUAGCGGUGAAAUGCAUUGAUAUCGGAGGAACACCAGUGGCGAAGGCGAUCUCUGGCCGUUGC
rnacentral:rRNA from 1 species